GCGGCUGCCUGGCGCGCAGCUGACCUUUCUCCUUCCCUAAUUUUGGAAAGGGAGGAUCAGCGGGCGCUGAGCCCGUGCCCGCUCCCGCGCUCCCUCGGGCGCCCGGCCGCGGGAUGCUCCGCGGGAUCCCUCCCAGUAUCAACCUUUCCGGAAUAAGCUCCAAAGCCCCCUUUGCACCCGCCAGGCGGCGAAAGGACUCGGAGCGGCCGAGGAGGAGACGGAGGGGCGCGAGCGGGCAGCGGAAGCGAGCGGCGAGGCGAGCGGAGAGCGAGGCGACCGCGGGGCGAGAGCCCGGCACAGGAUCCAGCCGAAAACCCUCCGGGAAAAGUUUUCCUUCCCCUGUUCCCAGGGUCGGAAGGGGCCCGAUGGGAGGACGUCUAUUCAGGUCUGGAGAAAGCUGAGCCCCAAGCGAAGGAAAAGCAGGAGCGGGGAAGAGAGGCAGAGAAGAGAGAGUCGGAUUAAGCAGCCAAAACCGCCCCGGCGGGAGAAACCCAAGCGCAAGGCGGCAAAAAGCAGCGAGCGACAGCCAGGCUCGGGGGGGAAA